rnacentral:rRNA from 1 species
UCAAAUCACGCUGAAACACCGGUUCUCGUUCGAUCAGCGAAGUUAAGCAUCGUAGAGCCAGGUCAGUACUUAGAUGGGGGACCGCUUGGGAACACCUGGUACUGUAAG